GUAGGUGGCGAGCGUUAUCCGGAAUUAUUGGGCGUAAAGGGUGCGCAGGCGGUUUGAAAAGUUUAAGGUGAAAGCGUGGGGCUUAACCCCAUACAGCCUUAGAAACUGUCAGACUAGAGUACAGGAGAGGGCAAUGGAAUUCCAUGUGUAGCGGUAAAAUGCGUAGAUAUAGGGAGGAACACCAGUGGCGAAGGCGGUUGCCUGGCCUGUAACUGACGCUCAUGCACGAAAGCGUGGGGAGCAAAUAGGAUUAGAUACCCUAGUAGUCCACGCCGUAAACGAUGAGAACUAAGUGUUGGGGAAACUCAGUGCUGCAGUUAACGCAAUAAGUUCUCCGCCUGGGGAGUAUGCACGCAAGUGUG
rnacentral:rRNA from 1 species